AACGAACGCUGGCGGCAUGCCUAACACAUGCAAGUCGAACGAGACCUUCGGGUCUAGUGGCGCACGGGUGCGUAACGCGUGGGAACCUGCCCUUAGGUUCGGAAUAACUCCCCGAAAGGGGUGCUAAUACCGGAUAAUGUCUUCGGACCAAAGAUUUAUCGCCUUUGGAUGGGCCCGCGUUGGAUUAGCUAGUUGGUAGGGUAAAAGCCUACCAAGGCGACGAUCCAUAGCUGGUCUGAGAGGAUGAGCAGCCACACUGGGACUGAGACACGGCCCAGACUCCUACGGGAGGCAGCAGUGGGGAAUAUUGGACAAUGGGGGAAAGCCUGAUCCAGCAAUGCCGCGUGAGUGAUGAAGGCCUUAGGGUUGUAAAGCUCUCUUACCCGGGAUGAUAAUGACAGUACCGGGAGAAUAAGCUCCGGCUAACUCCGUG
rnacentral:rRNA from 1 species